GCCAGACUCCUACGGGAGGCAGCAGUGAGGAAUAUUGGUCAAUGGUCGGGAGACUGAACCAGCCAAGCCGCGUGAGGGAUGAAGGUACAGAGUAUCGUAAACCUCUUUUGUCAGGGAACAAAGGCGGGGACGUGUCCCGGCCCGGAGAGUACCCGGAGAAAAAGCAUCGGCUAACUCCGUGCCAGCAGCCGCGGUAAUACGGAGGAUGCGAGCGUUAUCCGGAUUUAUUGGGUUUAAAGGGUGCGUAGGCGGGCUUUUAAGUCAGCGGUAAAAAUUCGGGGCUCAACCCCGUCCGGCCGUUGAAACUGGCGUUCUUGAGUGGGCGAGAAGUAUGCGGAAUGCGUGGUGUAGCGGUGAAAUGCAUAGAUAUCACGCAGAACUCCGAUUGCGAAGGCAGCAUACCGGCGCCCAACUGACGCUGAAGCACGAAAGCGUGGGUAUCGAACAGGAUUAGAUACCCUCGUAA
rnacentral:rRNA from 1 species